CUGCCACAGUCUACUAGACUGGUCCUUGUUUCCUCCGCCACAGUCUUACCAUUUCCUGUGGUUUCUCCUCUGCACAGUCUACCAUUUCAUGUGUUUCUCCCUCGCCACAGGCUACCAUUUCAUGUGUUUCUCCCUCUGCCACAGUCUACCUAUGACCUGUCCUGUGUUUCUCCCCUCUGCCACGUCUACUAUGACCCUGGUCCUGUGUUCUCCCUCUGCCACAGUCUAUGAUGACCUGGUUCCUGUGUUUCUCCCUCAAAUUACUCUCUCUCUCUGUCUGUCUCCACCAAUGUUCAUUACUGUCUCUCUCUGUCUGUCUCCACCAUACAUCCACACUGACACCACCAACAUUCAUUACUCUCUGUCUGUCUGUCUGUCUGUCUGUCUGUCUGUCUGUCUGUCUGUCUGUCUGUCUGUCUGUCUGUCUGUCUGUCUGUCUGUCUGUCAGUCUGUCUCCACCAAAUAUCCACACUGACACCACCAACUCUCUCAUGCACACACUCAAAUGCUGUCAUGCAGCAGUCUCCAGCCCCCUACCCUAUGCUGUAUGUAUGUACAGCUCUUGAUGCCAAUAGCACUUUGGAGCCUGCAAAUAGGAGUCAUGAAAUCUCCCUUGUGACUGAGAGCAAAUCUAUUGCUGCAGUGGGGAUGUUCUUUCUAGCUGACACAGGCAGGCCACCGUAUAGCAUCACCCCACCCCCAUGAUGAGGGCUAUAGCCUCUGGUUAUCAGAUAUACGCCCCCAUCAAGUAAAAUCCCAUGACCCCCAAUGUCAGUACAGCCUCUCUCUGCCUCUCUGACUUCAGACAGAGAGCAUCAGCCUGAACCAGUGAUAAGUGAUUACUAUGCCCUGCUCUGUGCCAGCCUCAAGCAGAGAACAAAAGUCAGAUUCAGUGAUGCUCCCUUGUUUGCCUCUCACCCCUCCCCGUCAGCCUCCCUCAGCCGCCCUGCUACUGAGGGAGAAACUAUGCAUACAGAUGUGGGAUCUUCAUUUGAUCACCCUGUUGCAGGAGAAAUUUCCUGCAAUGCGGCACAUUUAAAACUUGUGGUGUAUUUGAAGUUUAAAAAGGCUUCUGAAGUUCGUAAUUCCCACUUUGAAAAUUCAGACUUGAUUUUCCCUUAAGAAAAAUGUAUCAAGCCCUAUAAAAAUGUCCAUAAAUUAUAAUCCACAGAAUAAUUCCCAUUCCCUGUUGCUGCAUGAUUAUUUUCCUGCUGUAGCAAACUGGCUCAAAUGAAGAUCCUACAUCUGUAUAGCAGCAGUUAUCUGUAUAACAGAGGACACGACAAAUGCAUUACAGAUAAAACCUAUUUGCCUUCUAUGGUCAUGGGUUUAGAUUGAUGAAAGGUACACACACACACCGUUCACGACAACCCACACACACAUGCACCUGCACGCUCACACACACACAGACACACACACACACACACACAAAGAGAGAUAGCUGCUUUUCAGGUCAUGCCUUAUCUCAGCAGUGUCACAUGAGAAGGUCCUAGCCAUUAGGAGUGCUGGUUGGCAGUUUCUCCAUAAUGGUUUUGGGGGUUGAGGCAGGCCUGAAACUGUUUGCUGUAGGUUAACUGACAACUGGAGAAGACAAGCCAGUGUGGGGUUCGUCUAUGAAUAAUGCAGUCAGUCCCUCCCCUGCCCUACCCUAGCCGGGCAGCCCUUCUACAUGGACCUUCUGUCCCGGGAGCACAGGGCCACAUUAGUUUUCAUUAUGAUAACUGGGUUUAUGCACUUCUGCAUAGUAACAUGUAAUAACAUAUAUGUAUAACCAUGGCUUGAACCCAAUACAAUCUAAGAGGUGUGUAUAAGCCUAGUAGCAUACAUUAGCUUUACAAAAAUGAUGAUAUUAUCUCCCACCUCUUUAAGAACUUCUUUCUAUCUGUCAUUUUAAAGGCUCAAUCCUCUAGUCUAGGGGGAUGCUGAUGUGGGGUUUUCAUGUGAACAGGUGAAUAGAGCUCACCUGGUGGUGGUGGUUGUAGUUGUUCCUCUGCUGCAGGAAGGCGCCCUGCUGGUGCUGAUGAUGGUGCUGGGGGUGCAUCUGUGGGCUGACGGGGGACCUGCGGCUCUGCUGCUGCGGCUGCUGGUGGGCGUUGAUCUGGGGUGAGAACUGGCUGCUGAAGCCCUGCACGUUAAUCCCUGGGCAUGGAUUAGUCGACACCGGAGAAAAACUCUGGAAGAAGGCCGGGUUGAUAGACGAGGGGAUACCGGGAUAGAAGCUGUUGUCUGGGUCGGUAUGAGGCAACUGAUUAAUCGCGUUUGAGUGGUGGAUAGGGUUGGCCGAGUUAGAAACGGGUGGUGGUGGAGAGCUGGUCUGAACGGACCACGGGGUUCCGAAUCCAGGGAGGGGAGGUGAAGCUGAGGCGCCACUCGGGUUCUGCAUCUCUUGGUUCUGGAGGUUCGGAAAACCGCCCCCGAGUCCUCCGGACAACAUAUUGCCGGUGCUACUGCCAUUGCUGUUAUUUAUAUGGUGGGUGAUGGGGGAGUCCAUUUGGAUCCUAACCUUGUUUGGAUUUACGGAAGUGGGCGAUGGCAACGCGGCAGUCUCCACAUCGGCUUCAACCUCCUCCACUGGCUAGCGGCUGAUUUGUCCCGGUCUGGAGUAUGCGCUGCGCUCGGGUUCGAUGGAGACUUGAGCGGUGAAAGGCUGCCUCUGCGGCAGGUGACUGAAUUUUCCUUGGGGUGGGGGCGACUCAGUGCAGCCAAACUCAGCUCUCUGACUUAACUGCUGAUGUAUUUUCCGGUCGUGCUGAAGGUCACAGAUAGACUGCGUCGGGCAAAAAUGACCAAAAUAUGGAAAAUCUGGAUUCUGGUUCAGGUGGUUGUGGAGGAAGUGAGGGCUCCUAGCUGGUUGUUGGUUUGGUUGCUGUAUCCCGGUUUUAUUGAUUGUGUUGUUGUUGCUGCUGUAGUUUUCCUCUGUUGACUAGGGUCGUUGUUCGGUUGUCACCCCCACAGACUCAUUCUGCAUGUUUUGCUGAUGCGCAGCAGCUGACUGGAACAGUGGGGACAAGGCAGCGAGGCUACUGCGCGAAACCAAGGGUGAGCCGGGGCACAACUGGCCGAUGGAAACCGCAGAAGAGGAGGAGCAUUAGGAUCAGAAAGCGCGUCCGUCGAGAAGGGUAGAGUUGUGUCCAAUGGUCGCUGUCUGUAAUAAACCGAACCCGUAACCAUCCAUUUAUUUAUGUAAAAAUAUGUAUUUGAACGAAGUUUUUCAAUUCUCCGCCUAGAACAAGAGAACCCAGUGCAGAAUAGAUGCGUCGACAAAGAAGUAGCCUAACGAGAGAGGAGGGGUUUGUCUCUGUUCAGUCGGCGUUUUCUACAAUUAAUAUUAUGUUCUUAUUUUAAAAUCGAUUAAUAUAGGCCCCUAUUUAUAAAUAUAUCCGGUUAUAUUGUAGCCUGCGCAAACCAAUCCUGACUGACCGUGUACCCCUCCUCUCGUUACCGGCCGGGCUGCUGCGGCAGCGGAAUAAAGGUCCCCAGUGAAUGACGCCUACGUCACGUCCGCAUCAUGUUCUGUUCUGACCCUCGUUUCGCCCUUUGUAGUGAAUGCUGCUGAGCCCUUCUACCGGCCGGAGCUGUAAAGAACACCGCAUUGUUUACGUCAUUCUUUCCUUAUUCACAAGGUCCAGUAUUUCAUCAUGAUGUCCUGAAUAUUAAGCUUUAAAUUUCAUUUCUGAGUUUGUUUUAUCUACUGCAGGUUUGGGCAGAAUGAGCACCAGUGUAGCUUGACAUGGGCAGGAGCUCACUGGAGCAGAGUACCGGCACCUCAAAUGUUCUACUGCUUGACCUCCUAUUCCUUUUAUAGAAUAUGAGCUCAAAAGUAUUGUGGAGCUCCCGCUCCUAAAUAUAAACAGUAGGCCUACCAGAACCCAAAAUGAGUACCAGCACCUAAUUCAGUCCAAGUCAAGAACUGAUCCAGUCCCCUAUGUCAGAUACCCCAACCCCCACCAUCGUUAGUCCAAAAUCCGGCAGAUGGUGAUAUUGAGUCAUUUCAUUUGACUGUCCAAAGGGAAUAUGCAGCUGGCUAUACAUUCUCCAUUUAGGCUGCAAAGGCGUCGAUUUCCUCCUUAACUCGAUUUAAUGGCUAGAAAGGAAAAUGCAUACUUUCUUUCUUUAACACAACACACAUGAUCAUAAUCAGAAGUGGCUAUACCUUUUCAAAGCUUUAUAAAGUGCUGUUUAAUGGAUUUAAACAUUAGAGUCUGUGUUGAUCCAGUCACUGAAUGGGGUGUUUCCCUGGGUCAGUAUUUGCAUUCAAUCUCAUCAAUCUGUAAAUGAUUGCUGGUAGAAACUCUAUCUAGUUACUACCUCCAAUACUGACAGUUUGUGUUGAUGAAAGGGACCAAGAACUUAAACGAUUGUGAAGAUCAUUGGGUGUCUGUUGCGUUUAGACCUGCAUAGAGACUGCAUUUAACAUGGUAUACACAGAAUAUGGACUUGGUAUUUUACCAAAUAGGGCUUUCUUCUGUAUACCACCCCUACCUUGUCACAACACAUCUGAUUGUCUCAAACACAUUAAUUAAGAAGGAAAGAAAUUCCACAAAUGAACUUUUAACAAGGCACACCUGUUAAUAUAAAUGCAUUCCAGGUGACUACCUCAUGAAGCUGUUUGAGAGAAUGCCAAGAGUGUGCAAAGCUUUCAUCAAGGCAAAAGUUGGCUACUUUGAAGAAUCUAAAAUCAUUUUUUAUUUGUUUAACACUUUUAUGGUUACUACAUGAUUCCAAAUGUGUUAUUUCAUAGUUUUGAUGUCUUCACUAUUAUUCUACAAUGUAAAAAAUAGUAAAAAUAAAGAAAAAUCUUUGAAUGAAUAGGUGUGUCCAAACCUUUGGCUGGUACUGUACAUAUAUACAGUAUAUAUCAUCUGACAUAAUGAGGAGGAAUAUCACCGAACCAAACUGGUGUGUGUCAUAGUCAACGUUCCAUUUGCUGAGCACCUAACAAUCACUUACAUACACAUACGUACAUACAGGGCUAGUUUCUUUGGUAAACAUCUGUCGUUCUGCCCCUGAGCAAGGCAGUUAACCCACUGUUCCCCGGGUGCCGAUGAUGUGGAUGUCGAUUAAGACAGCCCCCUGCAUCUCUUUGAUUCAGAGGGGUUGGGUUAAAUGUGGAAGACACAUUUCAGUUGAAUACAUUCAGUUGUACAACUGACUAGGUAUCUCCCUUUCUCAUUCCAUGAUCUUUCACCCC
rnacentral:lncRNA from 1 species